CAGUCGCCGCGGUAAUACGAAGGGUGCAAGCGUUAAUCGGAAUUACUGGGCGUAAAGCGUGCGUAGGCGGUGAGUUAAGUCUGCUGUGAAAUCCCCGGGCUCAACCUGGGAAUGGCAGUGGAUACUGGGUCACUAGAGUGUGGUAGAGGAUAGUGGAAUUUCCGGUGUAGCAGUGAAAUGCGUAGAGAUCGGAAGGAACAUCAGUGGCGAAGGCGGCCAUCUGGGACAACACUGACGCUGAGGCACGAAAGCGUGGGGAGCAAACAGGAUUAGAUACCCGUGUAGUCCCUGUCUCUUAUAC
rnacentral:rRNA from 1 species